CCCCCGCCGGCCCUGAGGCGCGCGCCCGCGGAGCCAUCCGGGUCCCGGCGGCGCGGCGGGGCCGGGGCCGCGAUGCAUCUGCACCAGGUGCUGACCGGCGCCGUGAACCCCGGCGACAACGGGUACUCCGUGGGCAGCGUGCAGGACACCCCCUUCACGGCAUAUGGCUCUGGUUGUGACAUUGUUAUUCUGGCAAAUGACUUUGAAUGUGUGCAGAUUAUUCCCGGUGCUAAACAUGGAAACAUCCAGGUCAGUUGUGUGGAGUGCUCCCAGCGACAAGGCAGGAUUGCAGCAUCGUAUGGAAACGCUGUUUGCAUUUUUGAACCACUUGGUAUAAAUUCUCAUAAAAGAAAUUGUCAGCUGAAGUGUCAGUGGCUGAAAACUGGGCAAUUCUUCCUCAGUUCUAUGACUUACAACCUGGCCUGGGAUCCUCAAGGUAACAGGUUAUUGACAGCAACAGACUUUUUGCAAUUGUGGGCCCCUCCAUCUGAUGACAUUCUAGAGGAAGAUGAAGAUGAUGAUGCCAGCAGUCAGAUCAAGGAUGAUAAAGUCCUCCCGGUUCUAAAUGACUGGAAAUGUGUCUGGCAGUGCAAGACUGCAACAUCAGUACAUUUGAUGUCAUGGUCUCCUGAUGGUGAAUAUUUUGCAACAGCUGGGAAGGAUGACUGCCUCUUGAAGGUUUGGUAUCCUAUGACUGGUUGGAAGUCGUCUCUCCUGCCCCAAGAGAAUGAAGAAAAGAAAAAAUGCUCAGAGGAUGUGCAGUUUUCCUUUGUUUAUUUGGCGCAUCCCCGAGCAGUGACAGGAUUUUCCUGGCGGAACAUCAGCAAGUACAUGCCCAGGGGGUUGGUCUGUAAUGUGUUACUCACAUCAUGCCUCGAUGGCAUCUGCCGGCUGUGGGCAGAGACGCUGCUACCCGAAGAUACUCUCCUGGGGGAGCAGAUCUGUGAAACCACCACUUCCAGCAUCAGCAGCACCAUCUCUCAGUCUGGAAAGCAAAAGGACACUAUACAACAUGCACUAGAGACAAUUCAUCAUUUGAAAAAUAUGAGAAAAGGACAAAGGAGGUCUUCAGUCCUUGUUACCCACACAGAUGUACUGCCAGAUCAGCAGGGCACUCACGAAGUUCAGCGUCACAUUUCCCAUCAAGCAAAUGCACUUGGUCACUUCCACAUAGCAGCAAGCAUCAACCCUAAUACAGAUAUUCCUUCAGUGUUGGCUGGAACUGCUUUUAAUAUAGAUGAAGGCAGUGGAGGCUUCGUUGUCCACUGGCUGAAUAACAAAGAAUUUCAUUUUACAUCCUCUAUUGAAGUAUUCAUGCAGCAUCUAAGACAAAUUUCAGAACAACAACUAGAACAAGAUUUUGAUAUUGAAGCUGAAGAGGAAGAAGAAACAGAAGAAAAAGAAAAAGGCUUACAUAUGAAGUUAGACCAUGAUUUGUCUAUAGACAGAGAAUCAGAGACAGGGACUGGUACAGGCUCUUCAGAACAUGAAGAUGGAGAAAGAGAGGGAAGCCCCAAAACAUCUCUGCUGGCGGGCCCUCGCCUGCCUCUGCCAACAGUUUUGUUGGACCGGAAAAUCGACUUGCUCCUAACGGAAUGGAACAAGAAUCCAGACAUGCUCUUUACUAUCCAUCCUGUUGAUGGUACCUUCCUGGUAUGGCAUGUGAAGUAUUUGGAUGAAUACACUCCAGGCAUCUUUCGCCAAGUUCAGGUUUCAUUUUCUUCUAGGAUUCCUGUUGCAUUUCCAUCUGGAGAUGCUAGCUCCCUUAGCAAAAAUAUUAUGAUGUAUGCCUGUCCUGUCUUUGUAAAAGACAGCAGCAGUGCUGCACAGCAGAAAACAAUGGACUUUCCAAAUAAUACUCUAGCAAGCAAAGGACCAAGCUUUGCCCAGGACAGUGCAAAUGUGAAUAUAAUUUCUCCUGUGGUAAUGAUGAUUUCCAAACAUAUAGAUGGCUCUCUAAACCAGUGGGCAGUUACUUUUGCUGAUAAAUCAGCUUUCACUACUGUGCUAACUGUAUCCCACAAGUUCAGGUACUGUGGACACCGCUUUCACCUCAAUGAUCUGGCCUGCCAUUCCGUUUUACCAUUGCUGCUGACAUCUUCUCAUCACAACGCUCUGUUAACUCCUGAGUCAGACACCUCCUGGGACUCCGACAGGAUAAACAGGAUGAUGGAUCCUGUUAAACAUAAGAGAGGUUCUUCUAAGCAGCAACUUAAAAACGCAGCAACCCGUACAUUCCAUGACCCAAAUGCAAUCUACAGUGAGCUGAUUCUGUGGCGAGUAGACCCCAUAGGACCUUUAUCCUACACUGGAGGAGUGUCUGAGCUGGCUCGAAUUAACUCUCUUCACACCUCUGCUUUCUCUAACGUAGCCUGGCUUCCAACACUAAUUCCCAGCUAUUGCCUUGGUACCUAUUGCAACUCUGCUAGUGCUUGCUUUGUUGCAUCAGAUGGCAAAAACCUGAGGCUCUAUCAAGCUGUUGUAGAUGCACGAAAGCUUCUGGAUGAAUUAUCUGACCCUGAAUCAUCUAAACUUAUUGGGGAGGUGUUUAAUAUUGUGAGCCAACAAUCUACUGCUCGACCAGGAUGUAUCAUUGAGCUCGAUGCAAUAACUAACAAAUGUGGCUCAAACACACAAUUGCUUCAUGUCUUCCAAGAAGACUUCAUUUUGGGAUACAAACCACAUAAGGAGGAUGCAGAAGGGAAGGAAACUGAAAUAUUUUUCCAGCCAUCACAAGGGUAUCGUCCACCACCUUUCUCAGAGAAGUUCUAUCUGGUAGUAAUUGAAAAAGAUAGUAGUGGCUGUUCUGUUCUUCAAAUGUGGCAUCUUCAUCUCAAAUCUGUGCAAGCCUGUUUAGCAAAACCUACUGAAGCAUCUUCAGCAGAUAAUAAGCUUAGUGUACCUGAGCAGAAGACUGUGGAUUCUUCUCCAGAUGUAUCACCUGGCACAAGUCCCAUACCACGAUCUUCAUCAAUUGCUAACCUUCAGACUGCUAGUAAACUCAUUCUGAGCUCCAGACUUGUGUAUAGCCAACCCCUGGAUCUUCCUGUUGGUGUGGAAGUAGUAAGAGCAACUCCUUCAGCAGGUCACUUGAGUUCCUCAUCAAUAUACCCUGUCUGCCUCGCACCUUAUUUGAUAGUAACGUCCUGUUCGGACAACAGAGUGCGGUUCUGGAGAUGCACUGUGGAGACUGACCUGAGCAGCAAAACUGAGGAGAAGGAGACAUACCACUGGAGAAAAUGGCCUUUAAUGAACGAUGAAGGGGAAGACAACAGCAGUACAGUGAGCAUAGUAGGAAGGCCGGUUGCUGUUAGCUGUUCUUACACAGGACGUCUUGCAGUAGCAUACAAACAACCCAUACAGCAUAAUGGGUUUGUUUCCAAAGAAUUUUCCAUGCAUGUUUGUAUACUUGAAUGUGAGUCUACUGGAGGAUCAGAGUGGGUUUUGGAACAGACAAUUCAUCUGGAUGAUUUAGUUAAGGUUGGAAGUGUACUUGACUCAAGGGUCAGCGUGGAUAGUAAUUUAUUUGUUUACAGUAAAUCAGAUGCUUUCUUGAAUAAAGACAAAUACCUGGUGCCCAGUAUCAAGCAUUUGGUGCAUUUGGACUGGGUUUCAAAAGAAGAUGGUUCACAUAUACUGACAGUUGGAGUGGGUGCCAACAUCUUCAUGUAUGGAAGGCUUUCAGGGAUUGUAACAGAUCAAACCAGCAGCAAAGAGGGAGUAGCUGUCAUCACCCUGCCACUAGGAGGGAGCAUAAAACAAGGUGUGAAGUCAAAGUGGGUGUUGCUGAGGUCCAUUGAUUUGGUUUCAUCUGUGGAUGGCACUCCUUCCCUGCCUGUGUCCCUGUCCUGGGUGAGAGAUGGAAUACUGGUGGUGGGAAUGGACUGUGAAAUGCACGUUUAUGCCCAGUGGAAACACGCAGUCAAGUUUGGUAAUGGAGAAAGCGAUGUUUUUCCUUCUGAAGACUCAACAACACAAGAUCCCCUCAAAACAAGCGCAGUAGUGAAGAAGACGAGUGUAAUUGAUGGGGCAGGUGUUGUGGAUGAUGUUUUUGGCACUCCAACUGUAAUUCAGGAUGGGGGCCUCUUUGAAGCUGCUCAUGUUCUUUCACCUACUCUACCCCAGUAUCAUCCCACCCAGUUAUUAGAACUGAUGGACCUGGGUAAAGUUCGCCGAGCCAAAGCCAUUCUGUCGCAUUUAGUUAAAUGCAUUGCAGGAGAAGUUGCAAUAGUCAAAGACACAGAGGCUGGAGAAGGGACUGGUCCUAAACGCCAUCUUUCUCGCACCAUCAGUGUGAGUGGCAGUACUGCCAAGGAUACCAUUACUGCUGGGAAGGAUGGCACCCGAGACUACACAGAGAUAGACUCAAUUCCCCCACUGCCGCUGUAUGCACUGCUUGCUGCUGAUCAGGAUGCCACCUAUGUUGCCGAAGAAACUUCUAAAAUACCUCAGGGCUCUGAAGACCAUGCAAAGAGAAAAGCAGAGGAUCAGUACUCGGAUCUGUUCCAGAUUCAACCUGUUACAACGGAAGACUUUAUAGAUUUUGAGCCUGAAAAGAGGGAGAGUAAAUCCAAAGUGAUUAAUCUGUCACAGUAUGGGCCAACUUACUUUGGCCGAGAGCAUGCCAGUGUCCUUUCAAGCCACCUGAUGCACUCAAGUUUGCCAGGCCUCACUCGACUGGAGCAGAUGUUCCUUGUAGCUUUGGCAGACACUGUGGCCACGACAAGCACUGAACUAGAUGAGAACAGAGAUAAGAAUUACUCAGGAAGAGAUACCUUAGAUGAAUGUGGCCUCCGGUACCUGCUGGCCAUGCGCCUGCACACCUGCCUGCUGACAUCCCUGCCUCCCCUGUACCGUGUCCAGCUGCUCCACCAAGGCCUGUCAACUUGCCAUUUUGCAUGGGCUUUCCAUUCUGAGGCGGAGGAGGAGUUGAUCAAUAUGAUUCCUGCUAUCCAGAAGGGAGACCCACAGUGGUCUGAGCUGAGAGCUAUGGGCAUUGGUUGGUGGGUCAGGAAUAUCAACACUCUCCGAAGGUGCAUUGAGAAGGUUGCAAAAGCUUCGUUCCAGAGGAACAAUGAUGCCUUAGAUGCUGCACUUUUUUACCUUGCUAUGAAGAAAAAAGCAGUGGUGUGGGGUCUGUUUAGGUCCCAGCAUGAUGAAAAGAUGACUGCCUUUUUCAGCCACAACUUCAAUGAAGACCGAUGGCGUAAAGCUGCUUUAAAAAAUGCUUUUGCUUUGUUGGGAAAACAACGUUUUGAGCAGUCAGCUGCAUUUUUCUUGCUAGCAGGUUCACUAAAAGAUGCUAUAGAGGUGUGCCUUGAGAAAAUGGAAGACAUCCAGUUGGCCAUGGUCAUUGCUCGUUUGUAUGAAUCAGAGUUUGAAACCUCUGUCACAUACACCUCCAUUCUCUAUGAAAAGAUUUUGGGUUGCCAGAAGGAUGGAACCGGAUUCAGCUGUACUAAGUUGCAUUCUGAUCCAUUUCUGAGAAGCAUUGCAUACUGGAUAAUGAAAGAUUACACACGAGCACUGGAUACAUUAUUGGAACAAACGCCCAAAGAUGAUGAUGAAAACCCAGUUAUCGUCAAAUCCUGCAAUCCUGUGGUGUUCAGUUUCUACAACUAUCUUCGGACCCACCCUUUGCUCAUCCGAAGAUACUUCAGCUCCCCAGAAGGAACUCUCGCCACCUUAGGUCUAAAAACUGAGAAAAGCUUUGUUGAUAAAAUUAAUCUUAUAGAAAGAAAAUUAUUCUUCACUACUGCAAAUGCUCACUUUAAAGUGGGCUGCCCUGUACUAGCUCUUGAAGUCCUUUCCAAAAUUCCAAAAAUAAGAAAAAAGUCUGCUGUAGCUGGAGAAAAAGAUUCAUCCAGUCCUUCAAUCCAGACUGACGUUUCAGAUUCCAAAGCCCUACAGGAUGGUGCUGGAAGUGGUGAUAUAGACUGGUCAAAACCCAUUUCAACUUCCUUUGCUUUGGGGAGCACUGCUGAAUCUUCAGCACAAUUUGACUGGAGUCAACCAGCAGUAAAAUUUGAUGAUGAGCCACUUACUCUUGAUUGGGGUGAAGACAAAAAUGGAUCAGAUGAAGAAGACAAGGAUGUUGGGAUAAUGAUGAAAAAGUCUGAUUCUAAGAGUGAAGAUGAGAAGACCUCAGACACCAGCAUGGCUCAAACACCACAUGGGGAGGUUUCUGAGGCAGGAGACACUGAGGUUGAUGUUAUUGCUGAGCAAUUGAAAUUCAGGGCCUGUUUGAAAAUCCUUAUGACUGAACUGAGGACUUUGGCUACAGGUUAUGAAGUGGAUGGAGGAAAGCUCAGAUUUCAACUGUACAACUGGCUGGAAAAAGAGAUUGCUGCUAUGCAUGAAAUAUGCAACCAUGACACAGGGGACAAAGACUACUGUAAAACAUAUACCAAAGUAAAUGGGGAUCUGCUUGACCCAGAAGAUAUUAUGGAUAAGCCAGACAUUGGCUCGUACGAACGGCACCAGAUCGAAAGACGCAGGUUACAGGCCAAGCGAGAACAUGCUGAGAGAAGGAAGUGGUGGCUGCAGAAGAACCAAGCUCUUCUCAGGGUUUUCCUCAGUUAUUGUAGUCUUCAUGGGGCACAAGGUGGAGGUUUAGCAUCUGUAAGGAUGGAGCUGAAGUUCUUGCUGCAGGAGUCACAGCAGGAAACUACUGUAAAGCAACUCCAGUCUCCGCUUCCACUACCCACAACACUUCCACUGCUUUCUGCAAGCAUAGCGUCCACAAAAACUGUGAUAGCUAAUCCUGUGCUGUACUUAAACAACCACAUCCAUGAUAUACUUUACACUAUUGUGCAGAUGAAAUCACCACCACAUCCUAAUAUUGAAGAUGUCAAGGUGUACACACUUCACUCUUUAGCAGCUUCUCUUUCUGCAUCCAUUUAUCAAGCACUAUGUGACAGCCACAGCUACAGCAGUCAAACAGAAGCAAAUCAGUUUACUGGGAUGGUCUAUCAAGGACUGCUUUUGAGUGAUCGACGCAGACUGAGGACAGAAAGCAUCGAAGAGCACGCAACUCCAAACUCAUCUCCUGCUCAGUGGCCUGGUGUGAGUUCACUUAUCAACCUCUUAAGUUCAGCUCAGGAUGAAGACCAACCAAAGCUGAACAUCCUGCUGUGUGAAGCUGUGGUAGCCGUGUACCUGAGUCUGCUGAUCCACGCCCUGGCCACCAACUCGUGUAACGAGCUGUUCCGGCUGGCGGCGCACCCGCUCAACAGCCGCAUGUGGGCUGCUGUCUUUGGAGGGGGCGUCAAGCUGCUCGUGAAACCCCGCCGGCAGUCCGAGAACAUCCCAGCACCUCCUCUUCCAUCAGAAGAAAUGGAUAAACACCGCCGUCGGUUCAACAUGAGAAUGCUGGUGCCAGGAAGACCAGUAAAAGACAGCAAUGUGCCACCACCUGUACCUGCAGAAAGACCCUCUUACAAAGAAAAGUUUAUUCCUCCAGAACUCAGCAUGUGGGACUAUUUUAUGGCAAAGCCCUUUCUCCCUUUAUCAGACAGUGGUGUUAUCUAUGAUUCUGAUGAAAGCAUUCACAGUGAUGAGGAAGAGGAUGAUGCUUUCCUCUCUGAUGUGCAGAUCCAGGAACACACUGAUGCCAAUUCUUACAGCUGGGCUCUUCUACAUCUGACAAUGGUAAAAUUAGUUCUGCACAACAUUAAGAACUUCUUUCCCAUUGCUGGUCUGGAAUUCACUGAUCUGCCUGUAACAUCUCCAUUGGGCAUUGCUGUAAUAAAAAAUUUAGAACACUGGGAACAGAUUCUUCAAGAUAGAAUGGACCAGUUUGAAGGUCCACCUCCAAACUACAUCAAUACUUACCCCAGUGACCUGGGUGUAGGGGCAGGACCAGCUAUUCUCCGCAAUAAAGCCAUGAUUGAACCUGAGAACACACCAUUCAAAUCAAAGGAUUACUCAGCUCUUCCAGCAAAAAGGCUCUGGCAUUUUCUUGUGAAGCAAGAACUUCUUCAGGAGACUUUCAUAAGAUAUAUAUUCACAAAGAAAAGAAAGCAGAGUGAGUCUGUAGAAGAUCGUGUGGAGCAGGUCAAACAAAACUGCGUAGCAGAAGAUCACAAAAACAAGGUUGAAGCAGAUCUUGGAUACCCUGGAGGAAAAGCAAAAAUCAUUCACAAAGAAUCAGAUAUGAUAAUGGCAUUUGCAGUUAACAAGGCAAACAGCAAUGAAAUUGUUUUGGCAUCUACACAUGAUGUUCAAGAACUUGAUAUUUCAGCUCUACUGGCUGCUCAGUCGUUUAUAUGGAUUGGGGAAGAAUAUGACAGAGAGUCUAAAAGUUCUGAUGACGUUGACUUCCGUGGUUCUACCACAACACUGGCUCCUUCAAGUGCACCAUCAUUUGGAGUGAGUCAGAUCCAGCCAUCUCCAUCCAUGCCCUGGCUAGGCACUGGGCAAACCAGCACUGGAGCUGGUGUGCUGAUUAAAAGAAAUCUGAAUAACGUCAAGAGAAUGGCUUCACAUCCAGUCCAUCAGUAUUAUCUUACAGGAGCACAAGAUGGAAGUGUCCGAAUGUUUGAGUGGACAAGGCCACAGCAGCUGGUGUGCUUCCAGCAGGCUGGGAAUGCCAGGGUGACAAGGAUGUAUUUCAAUGCCCAGGGAAAUAAGUGUGGUGUUGCUGAUGGUGAAGGUUUUCUAAGUAUUUGGCAAGUAAACCAAACCACCUCAAAUCCUAAGCCCUACCUGAGUUGGCAGUGCCACAGUAAAACCACAAGUGACUUUGCAUUUAUAACCUCCUCAAGUCUAGUUGCUACAUCGGGACAAUCCAAUGAUAACAGAAAUGUGUGCCUCUGGGACACCUUGGUUUCAUCUAGUAACAGUCUUAUACAUGCCUUCACUUGUCACGACCACGGUGCCACAGUACUUCAGUAUGCGCCCAAGCAUCAACUGCUCAUUUCUGGAGGUAGGAAGGGAUAUAUCUGCAUCUUUGACAUCAGACAGAGGCAAAUCCUGUUCACCUUCCAAGCACACGAGUCAGCUGUUAAGGCCCUUGCACUGGAUCCUUCCGAGGACUAUUUUGUUACAGGCUCAGCUGAAGGCAACAUGAAGUGUGCAAGGCCUUAGUGAUAACAGCAAGUAUCCUGAGAAGAGCCCAGCCAUCCCUGUGCCACACACUGGAGCUUAGCUGCAGCAGAGGGAUUCCUCCAGCACAUUUGCUAAACAAGUACAACUACUCCCAGAAGCUUCUAUGGAGCCCAAAUUCAAGGACUUCAGUGUCACAGAAUCCAUAGUGCCUCAGUCUGUCUGUGCUGAAGGUAAAUAAUCUCAGAGUGAAGAACAGAACAGAAAGGCCAUUUCUCAGCAGCUCCUUGAGAGGAUUUGAAAAUUCCACAAAUAGUUUGUGUUCAUCUGUACAUGAAGGCAUUUCCCAAUUAACAGUAUGCAAGCAAAGGUUCCCUCAUCCAAGUUCCAAACGUUUGCUGUACACUGACAAAGCGAAUAGGACUUCCUACGGACGUUAUGACACAUUCUGGUGGGAAAAAAGCACAUGUCCAUGAUCUGUGACACUGAGACAGAAAGUAGCACUCGAGUCACGCUUUGUAGCAGGUUACCAGCUUUUUUUGAAGGACCUAGGGUUCUGUCUUCAGCCUUUCCAGCGAGGGUGUCAUCAUUUGGUACAUCACAUACCUCAUCUAGGGUGGAGGGAGAAAGAGAAAAGUGACAUGUUUUACCCUAUUUGACAUGAUAGAUGGACAAAUCAGUGACUCCUCUAAAAUAAAGAAAUGAUAACUGGGAUUUUGCUUCAUCUGGAAAAAAAUGCUUAGGUUGGUGGGGUCAAAAAUGAGAUAAGACUUGCUCUCACUUCUGCCAAAGAAAUGAAGUGUUGAGGCUGACAGUCAGCUUUGAGGAGUAACUAAUUAAAUCAAUAGAUUUAGUUCCUUAGCUGUGAAUUUCUGAGUUGCCAUUUAGGAAAAGAGAGUUUCCCUUUUCAUGAGCUAACUUCAGACAGCUGAGGUAGCUGGAAAAUGGCUGAUUUUGUCAUAAGACAAAAAGCGUAGUAGCAUUGUUUUCUAAUUCCAUUCUUAACUCUCCAGCAUUUCACACUGCUUGACACACAGGCUGCACAUUUUUUAGACUUCCAUUUUCAUUGUUUCCUUCUAAUAUAUUUCUAGGAUUUACAGGUCUGUGAUGAAGUUUAAGUGACAACGAUAGUUAAAAAUAGGAAAAAAAUAUAAAGUAAUGCUGAAAGGGUACCAUGACAUUCAAGAAAGAAAGGACAGAUAAUACUGCAUUGUUAUUCCUCCUUUAGGUCAUAUCCUCCUUUUGUUCACGCAGAAGAAAACUACUCCAAGAUGGAGCAAGAACAACAUGUAUUUCUCCCAUCCAUUAUCUAGGGCAUUUGGUGAGAUGACAUUGAAAGUUUGCAAGUGAUCACAAGUAAGGCACAAACAGUCCACCCAGCCACGGUAAGCUGAAUGCCUACAGCUAGAAUUUACCAAUCCCUCGAGAUCCCCUUCCAGCUUCUGAUCCCAAAAUACUUCCAGAAUAUUUCAAAAAACAAAAUCACUCAGCAGAAAUUAUAAAUUGCAAUGCACAUGUUGAUUUUUCUUGGGCUGAGUCUAAUAGAUGCAGCUGACUGAAGGAGCAGCUCCCUGUACAGCAGUUUAUCUAAAACUAUAGGAUAGCCAAGGGCCAGGUCAGUGUUUGUAGCAGAGCUGAGUGCACUAUUUGCCUUUGAGAAUAUUUGCCAUACUUCCAGCUGCAUGGAUUAGAAAGCAUCAAAAAUUAAAGAGAGUUUUCAAUCAGGAUUCUUAUGGGAAAUUUUCACUACUUUCUUCCCAUCAAAAACCAAGAUAAAUAUCCUGCUGCUUCCUAUCAUAAAAUAUUCUGGUUGAGAGUUAAUGGAGUUUAAAAGUCAUUAAAACUAUUCAUUUGGUCUGUUGGAAGAAGGUGGGAGAGAGUUUUGUCUCUUCCAGAAUUCACUAAAGUACCAGGGAGAAAAAAUAUACCUACAGGUCCAACUAAUUAUUCUCUUCUCUUGAAGAAAUUAAGUUUUACCAGAUUCAAAAUUUUCUUUGAAAAAGCCAAGAUUGUAUUCUUAUGCAAUAAGUAAAUUACAGUUAUAAUUCAGCAUAUAUAUUUUCUUUCCUUGAAAGAGUAAUGAAUAUUUAAUUAUAAAAUCUGGAUUAUUCAUUGAAUUUUGGUAAUAAGAUCUCAUGGUUUGCUGAGUCAUAAAACGUAGAAGCUUAUUGAGGAAGAUCUCAUCUUUGCAGAGUUAUUUGAGUGUAACUCCCAUUUUCCUGCUGCAAUUUAAAAUCAAUCAGAAAUCCACCAGAGAGCUUAUCCUCCAAAGCAUUUCAGUUUGUUUCAACACUGGAAAAGAGGCCACCUGAGCAAAUGGCCCAAUUAUCUCAUACAACAGUUCAUGCAUUUCUGAAUUUCAAAUAGGAUGAGAUUUCUGCUCUAGCUCUCUCUUGUCCAUUGUAAGGAGGCUCUCUGGGCUCUGACACUUCAAUGUCCAGAAUCAGGGGUUUAUAUUUGCAUCUAAAAUUAAAUAUUCAUUAUAUAAAAGCCAACUAUUUCAGCUGCAUUUCUCUUACUUUCCAAAUUUAUCCCACCUAAUAGAAAACACCAUUUGUAAAUGCUUUGCCUGAGCAUUACCAAAACACAAUUAAGGUAGCCUGCUGCCUUACACAAACUGUAUUUCAGCAAAGCACCUGAGCACAUGUUCAGAUUUAAGCUUAUGCAGCUUUAGUGGUGCCAGCAAAACUAAACUCAUGCUUACUGUUUUGAGCCUUGAAGCAAUGGUUUAAUCUUGGUUUAAUGGAAAAGAACCCUUGAGAACACUAACCUGUGCAUUUGCUGCUGUAGAUGUUCUCCUCAAGCUCCACUUUGGCUUUACCUUUACGUUUAUGUGGAGGCCCUGGGGGUCCAGGAGGUCCAGGGGGCCCAGGUGGUCCAGGCUCACCUUUUGCACCUGUGAACAAAAUGCAGUGUCAGGACACAGCCCUUCCCCAGGCAGCAGGAAACCUGCAGAGAACUGUACAUGUCCACAGGACAUCCACAGAACAGCCUCUCUCUUUCUUAAGAGGUUCCAGAGUACAGAAUAUGGUGCAAUAAACUCUCUGAAAUGAACCAGACAGAGCUUCACAAGGAGUAGGAUAUUAAUGCAUUUUAUCUGUCUGGAUUACAGGCCCAUUAGAGAGUUACAAUUUCAGAUGCUACACUGCUGUAAUUUCACACAGUUUAUAUUUGGCUGCUUCACGUGCUCCUGAAUGGAAAUCUGCCCCUCAUUUUCUAAUAGAAAAAUAAAACUACACUGAAACUGAAAAACAAAACCACAUGAAAUAAGGAGCAGGAGGAAAUCAAAUGUAUGAAAGCAUUCCGGAAAGGGUGAAAUUCACAUACACUUCAACCUAAAGGCCAAGCAGAAAGCUUUUUGUGAAGACUUGCCUUGCAAAGAGAGCAAUCUCCUGUGCAUAGCAAUACUCAGACUUCCCUGUGUAUAUAAAUCCUGUUUGUACAGGUUGGUCCUGCCCUUGCAGAUCACAUUCAUGCUUCAGAAGUGGAGCACAUCUUUUUCUGUCAAGCACACUGUUGCAAGAGAACUCCCAAGAGCACUUUUCCAUACCUUCUAAUACCACAUCAUUGUUUGCAUCCCCCUUUUUUCUCUUGGAUCCUCUUGUACCUUUUCCUCCUGGGAUACCAUCCUUGCCAGGUAAACCCAUUUCUCCCGGUUCUCCUUUCUGUCCUUGAUCACCUUUUGGUCCUGGCAAACCUAGAAGUAAAAACCAUUUCAGUAUCAACAGCACUGCUCCAGUAUUAAGCACCAAUUAAUAAAUAUUUUUACUACAAACCA